rfam:Setaria italica strain Yugu1 chromosome I, whole genome shotgun sequence.
GCCGAGCUCGGUUGCGCGGGCUUGUAACCCAAGUGGGGGCAUUAAGGUGGUGUGGAUGUUUGGUGCGGACUUUGAGGUUAAGUCUGUGGUGUGCCCUUGCUGGCCCUGCCCAUUCCAAGUUGUAAUGGCUUGUGCAGCCCAAGUGAAAGCUCAGGCUUCGCUGGACCUGAAGUGGGGGCUUCGUUGGACCUGAAGUGGCAUGAACAACGUGAGGCUGGCUUCACAGAGCAGCGAUCACUGCCCACUUCGAACGGUGGAAAGCUAACAGGCCACUACAUCACGGGUCCGACCUGGAUCCCGAAGAGCCGGUGGCGAGGAUUA